AACGGCCGCGGUAUUUUGACCGUGCAAAGGUAGCAUAAUCAUUAGUCCUUUAAUAUGGGACUGGAAUGAAAGGUUUAACGAAGAAUUAACUGUCUCGAUUUAAUUUAUAUAAUUUAGCUUUUUAGUUAAAAGGCUUAAAUUUUGUUGGAAGACGAGAAGACCCUAUAGAGCUUUAUAUUUAAAUUUUGGAAAUUUAUUUUGUUUAAUUUGUUUUAUCUUUGAUUUAAUUUUUUUGUUGGGGUGACAUUAAAUAAAUAUUUAACUUUUAUUGUUUGGUAAACAUUAAUUUAUGAGCUUGUGAUCCAUUCUUAUUGAUCGUUAGUAUAAGUUACCUUAGGGAUAACAGCGUAAUCCUCUCUUGGAGUUCUUAUUUGCGGGGGGGCUUGCGACCUCGAUGUUGGAUUAAGAUAAUUAUUGGGCGUAGUAGCUUAAUUAAUGGGUCUGUUCGAC
rnacentral:rRNA from 1 species